ACAGACCACCUACUGCCAGACCUCAACGCCUCACAAAACUCUCACCCACCUACUGCUUUUAGCUCACAUUCCAGGAAUUCAGAUGAAGUGAAGUGCUCUCAUGGGGACCAGGCAUGGUUAUGCCAGUCCACUGCCCUGCAAGCCUCAAGGGAAGCCAACUGCCCUUCAGCAAGUCACACCUGCCUUGGUGGAGGCCUUGAUUGGAAGUGCCACACGCUACAUGUCCAGUCCUGAGCGGGAGAAUCGGUGUAGGGACGUUCUGGGGAUGCCAGCUGUGGCCAGAUCAGGUCCAACUACAGAAGAAUAAUGAAGACUCCACCUGAGGGCUGGAAAAACAAAACCUCAAGUGUGAGGCAGCCAACCUGUUACCUCGAGGGACUGUUCCGCAGCACAGCGGGGCCAUGGGAACAGCAGCAGACACCCCGACCUCCUCGCUACCUGUAUCAACUAUGGCCUGAGUAUGAUAGACUUAUCCAUGGUUUAAACAGAAUAUAUUGUUUUCAACUUUGAAAAUAAGAAUAUGGAAAUCCAGAUGCAGAAAUGUGAGAAGAAAAGAGAGUAAACAGAGUGGAAGGUCAGGUGACCUUGCCUGUCAUGAAUA
rnacentral:lncRNA from 10 species